AUUUAUAGGGUUUAAGGGAAGUAGCCAGAUUAUUAGAGAUUAUCAGCUAAAAGUAUUUUAUGUUCCAGGGUCAGUACAUUAAGUGCAAUAUACCGUAAAUUAUUUCCUGUGGUUAAUCAACAGCAUGUCACGGUUUCUGUCUUGUAUAAAACCAUGACCAUUCCUUUAAUUACAAAUAUGUAAACUGCAUGAAAUGUAUUCUUCUUCUGAUGUACCACAAUCCAAAUUGUAUGUUUGUAAUUCUGUGUUCAUCAGAUUUAUUUAAAUUGGAAUGCCUGCCUGCAGUUGGAAUUCUUGCUCAGACCACAAUUAUCAGAUGCUAUUUCAAAGACAUUCUAGAUAUUCACAUAGUUGCAGUUUAUUUAACAAAAGUUGGACAGGAUGAGCCAUUAUUUGUUCAAGAAGAAUCAAAAAGAUUAGGAGAUCAACGCUUUAGUCUCGAAAACUCAACAGUGGGUCCUUCUCUGCAAAUCUCUGACACAAUGUUUACUGAUGAGGGUGAAUAUCUGUACCGUGUUAUAACCGACAGUGGAGAUAAAGAUGUAGAACUUAGCAUCAUUGUCAUAGGUGAGUUUUUUUAGAUUCAUGACUAAAAAUACAUACACACUGCCCUGCUUACAAGAGUCUUGGUGCUUAUCAUUGUUUUAUUCUUUCCCAAUAAAAUGAAAAUGUAAUGGAUGGAGGACAUGUCAGCCUUUACUGCAGUGUUACUGAAGAACACACUGAAAACACACUGAAGAUCACAUCUGCUAUACAUUAUAAGGAUUCUUCAGGAUCUAAUACAGCAAACAAUGUUGCUGGUGUGAUGGUCAUUGGAUCACUUACUGUUGGCCUGUUGUUUGCUCUCUGUUUCAAAAAAAGAAAUGCUCUGCGUUAUGAAUCAGGAAAGGCUGUUGAAGAUAAUAUGGAAAUUUGUGACAUCAGUCCUGAGCAUUGAAGCUUCUAAUAUCAGGAGAUUAGGUUUUUGGAGCAUUUUGCAAAUGCUUUCUUAAGCCUGGUCAGACCAUUAUUCACAAAUAUUUUACAAAUUUAAUCAAAUUAAUGUUGUAGUUUUUGUAAAUAGUUAAUAACAUCCAAAUCUAAAUAUAGUUCUGUAAAAAUUAUUUUUACAUCUAUCUAGGGAGUUCUUCAUCACUACUGUCACUUUUGGCUUAACUAACUGACGGUUUUAUGUAAUAUUGUUCUGUAAAGUACCUGUAAAGUAACAAUAUUCAUGCUUAUUAGGUAAGCGUUAUACAAAUGAACUUGAAUUAAACUGAAAAGAAAUGUAUGCAUUAAAUAUUAAUAGCAUUAAUGCAAAACAUUUUUUAUUGUUUAUAUUGUGCCAUUGUAUCACUGGUAACUUACGUUUUACCUCAUUGAUAGUAACUGUCAAAUAAAUCACAUUCAACUCAAGUCAAGUCACCUUUAUUUAUACAGUAUAGCACUUUUAACAAUACAGAUUGUGAUGGAGCAACUGAACAAAUAGUGUGUCAAUAAUACAAAAAGGCUAUUCAUCAUUGAAUUCAGUGAUGUCAUCAUCCAGCUCAGUUCAGUUUAAAUAUUAUCUGUGCAAUCAAUUCGACAAUAUCUUUGGAAUUUAAGUGUCCCCACUAAGAAAGCCAGAGGUGACAGAGGCAAGGAACCAAAACUCCAUCGGUGACAGAAUGGAGAAAAAACAUUGGGAAAAACCAGGCUCACUUGGGGGGCCAGUUCUCCUCUGGCCAGAUGAAACCAGCAGUUCAAUUGCAUGCUGCAGCACAUUGUGCAGAAGAAUUAUCUGUUUCCUGUGGUAUUGUCCCGGUGGCCGUCUAGGAGACAAGGUCUUGACUGUGGAUCUGUCUCUGGGGAUCAUUUAGCUGUCCUGGUUUGCCUAAUUAAUGCAGCCUAGAAAUCCUUUAAUGGAUUUGAAUAUUAGAAAUGUGUUGGUGUGUUAUGUGUAAGACAGGUUAAAGAGAUGGGUUUUUUAAUCUAGAUUUAAACUGAUAAAAUGUGUCUACCUCCUGAACAAUGUUAGGUAGGUCAUUCCAGAGUUUGGGCGCUAAAUAAAAAGGAUCUGCCGCCCGCAGUUGAUUUUGAUAUUCUAGGUGUUAUCAAAUUGCCAGAGUUUUUAGAAUGCAGUGGACAUGGAGGACUAUACUGCAAUGGGAGCUCAUUCAAAUAGUGAGGUGCUAAACCUGCAGGGCUUUAUAAGUAAUAAGCAAGAUUUUAAAAUUUAUACGAUGUUUCAUAGGGAGCCAGUGCAGUGUCAAUAGAACUGGGCUAAUAUGGUCAUACUUCCUGGUUCUUGCUGGAAUUUGUUUAUUAAGCGUGCAGAACAACUACCCAAUAAAGCAUUACCAAUAAUCUAACUUUGAGGUCAUGAAUGUAUGAAUUAAUGUUUCUGUAUUUGACAUUAAGAGCAUAGGUUGUAAUUUAGAUAUAUUUUUGAGAUGGAAAAAAGUCUUAUACAGAGUUCUAAGUUAUUAUAUGGUCCUAUAAUUAGCACCUUUUUUAAUAUAAUUUAACAGUAAGAAAUUACUCAGAAAAUCCAGGUUUUUAUAUUGACUAUACAUUCAAUUCAUUCUUCAAAUUGGUAUGUUUCUCCGUGCCUUGAAGAAAUAUAGAGCUGAGUAUCAUCAGCAUAACAGUGAAAGCUAACACCAUGUUUCCUGAUGAUAUCUCUCAAGGUUAACAUAAGGCGUGAAGAGUAGCGGCCCUAGUACUGGGCCUUGAGGUACUCCAUACUGCACUUGUGAUUGAUAUGAUACCUCUUCAUUCACUGCAACGAAUUGGUUGCGGUCAGAUAAGUAUGAUUUGAACCAUGCUAAUGCACUUCCAUUAAUGCCAGCAAAGUUUUCUAGUCUAUUCAAGAAAAUGUUGUGGUCAGUUGUGUCGAACGCAGCAGUAAGAUCCAAUAGCACUAAUAGAGACAUACAACCCCGAUCAGAUGAUAAGAGCAAGUUAUUUGUAACUCACAACCUUGGCCCCCUUCUGUGUCCAAAAUUGCGCAAAAACAUCGUGGGACAGUGAGCGGCUACAUUUGUUUGUCCGAGGGAGCAACAGUAACUAUGGGGGCGGGGCUUACCGAUGUACCCACAACCGGCGCAGCAUCAGAGAAUGUUUAUGAAAGGAUUGAUGCCCACUUUUAGGGGAAAACAAACCGCAGUAUUGGAAAGUGUGUCUAGAAAGUGUGGACUAAUCUUACAACAUGCCAAAGAGUUGUUGUGUGGUUGGGUGCACCAAAUUUGAAAUUCAUGGCUACCUGCCAUCAUCAUCCAUAUAUUGCUGUUACGAAAAUAUCAUGAAUUAUGUGUGAUGCUAAUCGAAAGCUAAGCCAGGCUAGUUGUAUGGCUGGACAGAACAGUGCACUCAGAACUCUAAAUAUAAAGGUUUAAUAUAUACAUUUAAAGAUGUUUACUUUCAAAUACGAAGUAAAAUCAUUCUCCUUUCCCUUUCACACUGCCAUUCCGGCAAAUACAGGGGUAAAGUGUUCCUGCAAUUGUUCCCGGGUCACUAGAUUUUGCACUUUCACACUGCC